GAUGAACGCUGGCGGCGUGCCUAAUACAUGCAAGUCGAACGGGGUGUUUGAGCAAUCGGACACUUAGUGGCGAACGGGUGAGUAACGCGUUGGUGACCUGCCCCAAAGCGGGGGAUAACAGCCUGAAAGGGUUGCUAACACCGCAUAUGAUGAUGAGAGACUAGAAACUUAUCAUUAAAGGAGAAAUCCACUUUGGGAGGGGCCUGCGUCCCAUCAGCUAGUUGGUAGGGUAAAAGCCUACCAAGGCGAAGACGGGUAGGGGACCUGAGAGGGUGACCCCCCACAAUGGAACUGAAACACGGUCCAUACACCUACGGGUGGCAGCAGUAGGGGAUAUUGCACAAUGGGCGGAAGCCUGAUGCAGCAACGCCGCGUGAGUGAUGAAGGCCCUCGGGUCGUAAAACUCUUUUCAAGAGGAAGAGGAAGGACGGUACUCUUGGAAUAAGCCUCGGCUAACUACGUGCCAGCCGCCGCGGUAAGAC
rnacentral:rRNA from 1 species